GACGUAGGGCGCGAGCGUUGUCCGGAUUUAUUGGGCGUAAAGAGCUCGUAGGCGGCUUGUCGCGUCGAAUGUGAAAACCCAGGGCUCAACCCUGGGCCUGCAUUCGAUACGGGCAGACUAGAGUACGGCAGGGGAGACUGGAAUUCCUGGUGUAGCGGUGAAAUGCGCAGAUAUCAGGAGGAACACCGGUGGCGAAGGCGGGUCUCUGGGCCGUAACUGACGCUGGAGGAGCGAAAGCGUGGGGAGCGAACAGG
rnacentral:rRNA from 1 species